GCAAGGUCUGUAUACAGGUGGUGCAUGGUUGUCGUCAGCUCGUGUCGUGAGAUGUUGGGUUAAGUCCCGCAACGAGCGCAACCCUCGUUCUGUGUUGCCAGCAUUUUAGUUGGGGACUCACAGGAGACUCCCCGGGGUUAACUCGGAGGAAGGUGGGGAUGACGUCAAAUCAUCAUGCCCCUUAUGUCCUUGGGCCGCACGCAUGCUACAAUGGCUGGUACAAACGGCUGCGAUACCGCAAGGUGGAGCGAAUCCGAUAAAGCCAGUCUCAGUUCGGAUUGGGGUCUGCAACUCGACCCCAUGAAGUCGGAGUUGCUAGUAAUCGUAGAUCAGCAACGCUACGGUGAAUACGUUCCCGGGGCUUGUACACACCGCCCGUCACGUCACGAAAGUCGGUAACAACCCGAAGUCAGUGCCCAACCGUAAGGGGG
rnacentral:rRNA from 1 species